rnacentral:snRNA from 1 species
AGACUUAACCUGGCAGGAGAGUUUCUCCAGGGUAAGGUUUGUUCAUUGUGCUCCUGGUGUGCUGACCCCUGCAAGCUCCCCAAAUGCAGGAAACUUGAGUGUAUGAUUUCUGGCCAUGGGGGAGGGGAUUAAAACAGCAAAACCUAAACGUUAAUUUUGGCUCCCA